GCUGCCUCCAGAAGCCGACUCAAGGACUGGGGACUUGGUGGAUCUAUGGCAUUGGUACCCACAGAGGUCACCUGCACAGAUAAAUCUGUCGCCACCCUUCAACCCUGGCCUACCGGAUCUGCGGGGAGAAAUGCAGCAUUUGAAUUGGGGAGUGUUCAGUCCUGCUCUGCGGGGCAUUUAUUUACAAAUAUCAGCUGCAACCCAGCCUUGAUAACGUCUCAUACAGUCAGAGGACUUUGCGGGAAGCACACUUCCUCCUUGUUUGGGGCUACAGGGAAAGCCCAGGAAAGCGAGUCCCAGAAGGCCUGGGACAGCUACACCCAGUUCACCCAAGCUCAACCCGGAACAGCCGACCCAAACGGUCAGGAAGGACUUUCUGGAAGCCCAUCUUCGUAUGCUCACCAGCCCACCCUCCUACGCUGGUCAGAGUGAGAUUGCUAAUCUCAAGACCCCAUUCAAUGCCAGCUUUCAACUACUGCUGAAGACCAAUGUAGGUCCUGGAAUAGAAGAACUGCAGAGUAUCCGGAGCUGGCCGACCCCAGACUGAUUCUCAACAGGUGGCUGGGUAGUGCCCCCCACCCUGUGUUGGUCGUGCGGGACCCAUCGCACACAGAGAAGCCACCUUACCCCUCACCUCACCCCGUCGGCCAAAGACUGACCACCCGCGCCCGAGUGUGGGGAGGGGUGGGAAUUCCGGAUCACACACACACACACACACACACACACACACACACACACACACACACACACCAGGGUAGGGGAACAGGGAAGAUCUUACCUGCAGAAAGGUAAGAGAAGCCGGGAGCGUGUA
rnacentral:lncRNA from 1 species